UACACUCGUAACCUCCCUUUCUUCACAGCGUGGAUUCGACUAAUCACCACCACCACCAUCCUUCGGGCCAUCAUCUUCCUCAAUCGGUAAAUGCAUUGUGAAUUCUACGAUCAGGUGCCAUGAAAACCCUUCAAAAUUUGUUCCUUUCACAUAAAUUCCACAUUAUUCCAAGAUUGAUUUUUCACAUGUUUCACCAAAAAAAAAA
rnacentral:lncRNA from 1 species